CACCGGCGGCUCGAGUGGUGGCCACUUUUAUUGGGUCUAAAGCGUCCGUAGCCGGCUUGGCAAGUCCCCUGGGAAAUCUGGCGGCUUAACCGUCAGGCGUCCAGAGGAUACUGCCAGGCUUGGGACCGGGAGAGGUAAGAGGUACUACGGGGGUAGGGGUGAAAUCUUGUGAUCCCUGAGGGACCACCAGUGGCGAAGGCGUCUCACUAGAACGGGUCCGACGGUCAGGGACGAAAGCUGGGGGCACGAACCGG
rnacentral:rRNA from 1 species